CCUACGGGUGGCAGCAGUGGGGAAUAUUGCACAAUGGGGGAAACCCUGAUGCAGCGACGCCGCGUGAGCGAUGCAGUAUUUCGGUAUGUAAAGCUCUAUCAGCAGGGAAGAAAAUGACGGUACCUGACUAAGAAGACCCGGCUAACUACGUGCCAGCAGCAGCGGUAAUACGUAGGGGGCAAGCGUUAUCCGGAUUUACUGGGUGUAAAGGGAGCGUAGACGGCUUGGCAAGCCAGAUGUGAAAGGCUGCGGCUCAACCCCAGGACUGCAUUUGGAACUGUCAUGCUAGAGUGUCGGAGAGGCAGUCGGAAUUCCUAGGGUAGCGGUGAAAUGCGUAGAGAUUAGGAGGGACACCAGGGGCGAAGGCGGCGUGCUUGACGAUGACUGACGUUGAGGCUCGAAAGCGUGGGGAGCAAACAGGAUUAGAUACCCCUGGUAGUC
rnacentral:rRNA from 1 species